UCCUGGCUCAGGAUGAACGCUGGCGGCGUGCCUAAUACAUGCAAGUCGAGCGAAUGGAUUAAGAGCUUGCUCUUAUGAAGUUAGCGGCGGACGGGUGAGUAACACGUGGGUAACCUGCCCAUAAGACUGGGAUAACUCCGGGAAACCGGGGCUAAUACCGGAUAACAUUUUGAACCGCAUGGUUCGAAAUUGAAAGGCGGCUUCGGCUGUCACUUAUGGAUGGACCCGCGUCGCAUUAGCUAGUUGGUGAGGUAACGGCUCACCAAGGCAACGAUGCGUAGCCGACCUGAGAGGGUGAUCGGCCACACUGGGACUGAGACACGGCCCAGACUCCUACGGGAGGCAGCAGUAGGGAAUCUUCCGCAAUGGACGAAAGUCUGACGGAGCAACGCCGCGUGAGUGAUGAAGGCUUUCGGGUCGUAAAACUCUGUUGUUAGGGAAGAACAAGUGCUAGUUGAAUAAGCUGGCACCUUGACGGUACCUAACCAGAAAGCCACGGCUAACUACGUGCCAGCAGCCGCGGUAAUACGUAGGUGGCAAGCGUUAUCCGGAAUUAUUGGGCGUAAAGCGCGCGCAGGUGGUUUCUUAAGUCUGAUGUGAAAGCCCACGGCUCAACCGUGGAGGGUCAUUGGAAACUGGGAGACUUGAGUGCAGAAGAGGAAAGUGGAAUUCCAUGUGUAGCGGUGAAAUGCGUAGAGAUAUGGAGGAACACCAGUGGCGAAGGCGACUUUCUGGUCUGUAACUGACACUGAGGCGCGAAAGCGUGGGGA
rnacentral:rRNA from 1 species